rnacentral:rRNA from 1 species
GGGCCCGCACAAGCAGUGGAGCAUGUGGUUUAAUUCGACGCGACCCGAAGAACCUUACCAGGUCUUGACAUCUACCUAAGGCAGUAGAGAUAUUGCUGUGCUUUUCGGAGAAAGGUAAGACAGGUGGUGCAUGGUUGUCGUCAGCUCGUGUCGUGAGAUGUUGGGUUAAGUCCCGCAACGAGCGCAACCCUUGAUGUUGGUUGCCAGCAGGUAAGGCUGGGCACUCCAGCGUGACUGCCGUAGAGAAUACGGAGGAAGGCGGGGAUGACGUCAAAUCAUCAUGCCCUAUAUGACCUGGGCUACACACGUGCUACAAUGGGGUGGAACAACGGGAUGCGAACUCGCGAGAGUAAGCGGAACCCUGAAAACACCUCUCAGUUCAGAUUGCAGGCUGAAACCCGCCUGUAUGAAGUCGGAAUUGCUAGUAAUCGCGGAUCAGCAAGCCG